GCCGAAUAUCGACGCCGUGUCCCGUCAUUCGUGUGGCUUAUGUUACUGUUGCCUUUCAAGUGCUUGCGUACAGGUACCCGACCUACGGGAAGUGGUGCUUCAUACACAUUUGUCUCGCGGCGGACGCCUCCGGGUGUCCCGCUGCGGCCUAAUGGCGCUUGCGGCUUUGCCUCGUGGUGCUGUCACGUUUUCGUGCACGGUGCCAUCAAGGCAGCCUCGCUCGCGUUGUUGGUUUUGGAUGCUGCUAACGAUAAAGGCUCAUGGCCCUUUUGGUUGCCUAGACCCGAACCUAAUGAAGCUCUCUGGAUCAGAACGUGUCGUAGAACGGGGUGUUGCCUCUACCUCUCCACAGUUAGUGGUAGGAUACGCAACAUGCUGGGCCGAUGCUAGUAGGGGAAGGGGAGCUUGGCCCGCUCAAUUGCGACAACCGGCCUGGCUGUUGUCUGCUCGUAAGGGCGGAUGACUGCCGACGCUGGACGUCAAAGAGGACGUGCUACCUGGUUGAUCCUGCCAGUAGUC
rnacentral:misc_RNA from 1 species